rnacentral:rRNA from 1 species
AGAAUCAACGCUGGCGGCGUGCCUAACACAUGCAAGUCGAUCGAGAAAGUGGAGCAAUCCAUGAGUAAAGAGGCGCACGGGUGAGUAACACGUGACUAACCUACCUUCGAGUGGGGAAUAACCUGGGGAAACCCGGGCUAAUACCGCAUAAUACCUACGGGUCAAAGGAGCAAUUCGCUUCAGGGAGGGGUCGCGGCCGAUUAGUUAGUUGGCGGGGUAAUGGCCCACCAAGACAGUGAUCGGUA